rnacentral:rRNA from 1 species
GAGUUUGAUCUUGGCUCAGAACGAACGCUGGCGGCAGGCUUAACACAUGCAAGUCGAGCGCCCCGCAAGGGGAGCGGCAGACGGGUGAGUAACGCGUGGGAAUCUACCCAUCUCUACGGAACAACUCCGGGAAACUGGAGCUAAUACCGUAUACGUCCUUAUGGAGAAGGAUUUAUCGGAGAUGGAUGAGCCCGCGUUGGAUUAGCUAGUUGGGGGGGUAAUGGCCUACCAAGGCGACGAUCCAUAGCUGGUCU